rnacentral:rRNA from 1 species
CGCAGCCGCGGUAAUUCCAGCUCCAAUAGCGUAUAUUAAAGUUGUUGCAGUUAAAAGCUCGUAGUUGAAUUUCGGGGUCAAUACGUCGGUCGUGCCUCGGUACGCACUGACGUUAUUGAUCCCUCCCUUCUGACGAACCGUGAUGUCAUUAAUUUGGUGUUGCGGGGAAUCAGGACUGUUACCUUGAAAAAAUUAGAGUGUUUAAAGCAGGCAAUCGCUCGAAUACAUUAGCAUGGAAUAAUGAAAUAGGACGUUCGAACCUAUUUUGUUGGUUUCUAGGAUCGACGUAAUGAUUAAUAGGGAUAGUUGGGGGCAUUAGUAUUCAAUUGUCAGAGGUGAAAUUCUUGGAUUUAUUGAAGACUAACUACUGCGAAAGCAUUUGCCAAGGAUGUUUUCAUUAAUCAAGAACGAAAGUUAGGGAUCGAAGACGAUCAGAUACCGUCGUAGUCU